rnacentral:tRNA from 1 species
GCCUCCUUAGCUCAGCUGGCCAGAGCACCUGUCUUGUAAACAGGGGGUCAUCGGUUCGAAUCCGAUAGGGGGCUCCC